rnacentral:rRNA from 1 species
CAUUAAGUUGGGCACUCUAGAGAGACUGCCAGGGAUAACCUGGAGGAAGGUGGGGAUGACGUCAAAUCAUCAUGCCCCUUAUGCUUAGGGCUACACACGUGCUACAAUGGGUAGUACAGAGGGUUGCCAAGCCGUAAGGUGGAGCUAAUCCCUUAAAGCUACUCUCAGUUCGGAUUGUAGGCUGAAACUCGCCUACAUGAAGCUGGAGUUACUAGUAAUCGCAGAUCAGAAUGCUGCGGUGAAUGCGUUCCCGGGUCUUGUACACACCGCCCGUCACACCACGGGAGUUGGAGACGCCCGAAGCCGAUUA